AAACUCCACUGUUUAAAAAUCUUGGGGGAAAAGUCUCUGUGUGGAUGUGUGGAUUUCUUUCAAAUACUGUCUCUGAAACAGCUGCCAAAGGACUUGCUGCACAUCACAUCAGAUCCUCUUGCCAUCAUCAGCUCUCCAAAUCUAAACUCCAGCAGCUAGAAGAGAUGGGGGAAAAUUAAGAUCUUCUCUAAGUAUGCAAAGGGCAUCUAACUACGUGAAGCAUCUGCCCUGGCUGCAGCUCUGCACCCAGGACACAGUGGGAGGAGACAUCAGCAGAUGGCUGUGUCACUCAUGGAUCCCAAGCCAGCAGCUCCAAUAUGUGCUGAGCCUUGGCACUCUCUCCCAUCUGUUUCAGGGCUAGGCUCAUGGUGAAAACAAGGUAUGACUUCUCAGAUGAAAUACUCUUUGUAUGUCUUCUCUACAAAUAGAGACCAGUAUAUGUUGUGCAGGUUAUUAAGCGACCAUAGGAUUUAUACCACGUUGGUGACAGGAAUUCAUUCCCAGUGACCUGAAGGAGGGCAAAAAGAACACAUUUCAUAACUGUCAAGCAUCAAGCAAUAUUUUUCCUAUAAAUGUAACUUUUUUCCCUUUUCUGUCAGUUUCAGACAAAAUAUCAGGUUAUUUGCAUAAGUUCAAAAUGUUAGUGCCACUAUGUCUUAAAGGGUUUGAAUAGCUCUGAUGAGGAGAAGAGUCAUUCCAGUACUUCUGAGCAGAGUGCAAUGAAAGGAUAUUGAGAACAAAUGUGUUUCUCAAACUAGUCUUUCUUAUUUAUAAAUCUGACUAAUGCAAGAUACUGUAAAUUAAAUUAAUGUUGUGAAAUCAAUUGAAAAGAAUAUACAAAGCUCUACAGCUUUCAAACACUGCAGCUGAAAUAAAGAUCAACAUGUGAAAGAUUGCAUAAAUGAUUUUAAAAGUAAUUUUUACAGCUGAGUGCUUUCAAUAUUCCAGUUCUAUAGAGAUAAUCUGUAUAUAAAACAUGUUGGAUAUUCCAGUACUGCAUAUCAGUUCAUAAAUAAGUACAGUAAGCAUUGCAGCUAUAGGAACAGGGUAGUCUUUUUUUCCUGUGGAGAGUCAGAUGAAUCAUAGGAGUAAUAGCUUCAUUGUUUGUGGUUUGAACUUUUAGAGUCAAAUCCUGUACCACU